CCCGGUAAACGGCGGCCGUAACUAUAACGGUCCUAAGGUAGCGAAAUUCCUUGUCGGGUAAGUUCCGACCUGCACGAAUGGCGUAAUGAUGGCCAGGCUGUCUCCACCCGAGACUCAGUGAAAUUGAACUCGCUGUGAAGAUGCAGUGUACCCGCGGCAAGACGGAAAGACCCCGUGAACCUUUACUAUAGCUUGACACUGAACACUGGUCCUUGAUGUGUAGGAUAGGUGGGAGGCUUUGAAGUGUG
rnacentral:rRNA from 1 species